rnacentral:piRNA from 1 species
UGCAAAGCACGUUUCAGAUGCAGGUGGC